GACGAACGCUGGCGGCGUGCUUAACACAUGCAAGUCGAACGAUGAUGCUGGAGCUUGCUCCGCUGGAUCAGUGGCGAACGGGUGAGUAACACGUGGGCAACCUGCCCCUCACUUCGGGAUAACUCCGGGAAACCGGGGCUAAUACCGGAUAUGACCUCCUUGGGCAUCCUUGGAGGUGGAAAGUUUUUCGGUGAGGGAUGGGCCCGCGGCCUAUCAGCUUGUUGGUGAGGUAGUGGCUCACCAAGGCGACGACGGGUAGCCGGCCUGAGAGGGCGACCGGCCACACUGGGACUGAGACACGGCCCAGACUCCUACGGGAGGCAGCAGUGGGGAAUAUUGCGCAAUGGGCGAAAGCCUGACGCAGCAACGCCGCGUGCGGGAUGACGGCCUUCGGGUUGUAAACCGCUUUCAGCAGGGAAGAAGCCGCAAGGUGACGGUACCUGCAGAAGAAGCACCGGCUAACUACGUGCCAGCAGCCGCCGUAA
rnacentral:rRNA from 1 species